UCGGCCAGACUUUCUCUCAGCUGGCUGCAUGGUCAGACAGAGCAGAAUCUAACGUGGUGCUGGCUACCGGACAAUCUUCUCUUUCAUGUCUCAGAGGCUAUGAAGAAACCAACAGAGUCUUACAUCGGCCAAGAAACUCAUGCAGCUUAAAAACUGCAAAGGUAAUGUUUUUCAUUUGAGUUGCCCUUUCAUUUUUUCUCCUCGCUAAACUUUUGAUCUAAAUCUUCUUAACUUUAUAUUAAGUGCUGUGGCCUGCUUGAGGUGUCAGAGUCUUUCCAAUCACUGUUCAUCUGAUGGAUUCCAGCAAGUCUGGAAAUGAAGCAAAGAUUUUGACUCGUGGCUCUGAUAGAGGUCACAAGCUAAGGAUGUCAUUCCUCACAUCAGGAGUAUCUCUAGCUGUUAAAGCCACUUGGCCUGCGGACAGACAAGGAGAGAGAAAGAGCGAUGGACAACGGGAGGAAGAAUGAAUGAGCUGAGAGGGAUUCCAGGCAGUGGAGGGAUCGCUGGCUUCACUUCCCCUGUGAUCGGGCCCUUUCUUAUUUGUCCUCCCACCCUUGGCAUUAUCCGGCAUGAAUUCUUUGGAACGCUUUGGUACUGCUUAAUUUACAUGUAUGCCAACAGGCUUUUAAUGUAUUUAAAUCUUGGAAGAUGUUCAAAGGAAACCCAUAAUUCCUCUGAAAUAGGCCUUUUGAAGGUUUUAUCUCGCUCUUUCUCUCUAGCUAAUCUCACAGCCCCUCAGCAUGCCACAGCAAUUUUGCUAAUGCCAAUUAAGCUUUGCAUUAGCAUAAAAACAGCCCUUUAAAGUUUCGCCCUUUUCAUAUAAAAUAAAGAAUAAUAUUGAA